ensembl:lncRNA
CUAAAAUGAAACACUCUAAAAAUAUGGCUUGGAGGCGUAAAAUAGACGUCUCCGUGAUGUACAUGUGCUAUCAGAUAGCUUGGGUCAGCAUCACUAGUUUUAUUGGUUUAAUGGAUGAAAAUGUUUAACUUUGUAUUUAAAUAAAAACACUCAAACCCAAAUGCAUGCUACUGGAAAGAGCCAUCAGGUUGACCGAGAGGGCUCUAGCAUUUACUCUGCUCUCUUCCGUUGCACCACGGUUGGGCCGCAGAAGUUGUCUGUGUGAUUUAUUGUGAUUACCGCAAUGGCAGCCGCUCCACAGAGUGGAAGGGCUCCGAGAUUAACGAGCGCAGUGAUAAAAGUGCUAGCGAGUAGCGCGUUUGCUACUUAAUAGCUCCUGAAAUGAGGCGCCCCGCCAUGCUGCGCCUCCUGCCCCUCCCCCUGGGAUUUCAUUACUUUAAGACAAAUGGAUGAAUACGCAUUGAAGUGGGGUUUAAGGAGCGGGGAGAGCAGAGAUGGUUUGUAAUUACCGUAAUCAGAGAGAGAGCAUUUCUAACGUGCCAGAAACAUGCACUGAGGUCACAGCAGGAGGACGGAGGGGCCAGCUGAAACAAAACAAGGAGCACAGAAAGUCACCUGCAGUCGAUAGGAUUCUCAGCAGGCAGCUGGAAGUCACGGUGGCUGCAGACCACAGACCGUCUGUCUUAUACUGUCUCUGAUGAACCACACAAGAUCGGAAAAUGUCUUUCGGAUCAGCCAAACAAAAUCUGAUGUCAAAUGGACUCAAGUCUGCAUCAAAAUCUCCUUGUCACUUUGGAUAAAAGCAUCUGCUAAACGACAACUUCCUGUACUCUACGAAAGAUGAAAGGUGAAAGAAAAUAAGUGCUAAUCUCAAUCUUUUGAUCAUUAAAAUGAACUCUGCAUUGAAAGGGCGUUAAAUGUUAUGGUUUAUUGAAUUUUAACUACUCCCUGCCUUGUGGCUAAUGGCCAAAUCGUACAGCCAGUCACUGGGGGGCUACAGCCCUUUGUGCAACCAAAAUGGCUGCAUGUAGGUCUGCUAAAAAAAAAAAAAAGUUAUAAAAGAAAAUCCUAAUACUUCCUAUUUGUACCCUCUUCUCUAAUCUGGGUUUUAAAUGCUUCAUAUGGACUCUUAAUUGUUUUUUUUUUUUUUUUUUUACUUAAACAGGUGCUCACAGUCUUUCAGUGGCCUUGGUUUAAAAAAAAAAUGAGAGGGGGAUGAUGGGAUUUAAUGGUCCACACCAGAGAACAAAGCUCGGCUUCAUACAAAGGUGGAAGUCUCUGGCUGUGUGCCAGUCCACAGUCAAUGCCCAAAAACACGUACAUGAACGCUGCCUGUUUUGGAUGGCUUUUAGAAAUGAAAAAAAUAAUAAUAACAAAAUAAAAUACCACAGUAUGCUUAAUUGGGGAUGUUG